CAGCCGCCGCGGGAAUACGAAGGGGGCUAGCGUUGUUCGGAAUUACUGGGCGUAAAGCGCGCGUAGGCGGUUACUCAAGUCAGAGGUGAAAGCCCGGGGCUCAACCCCGGAACUGCCUUUGAAACUAGGUGACUAGAAUCUUGGAGAGGUCAGUGGAAUUCCGAGUGUAGAGGUGAAAUUCGUAGAUAUUCGGAAGAACACCAGUGGCGAAGGCGACUGACUGGACAAGUAUUGACGCUGAGGUGCGAAAGCGUGGGGAGCAAACAGGAUUAGAUACCCGAGUAGUCCCUGUCUCUUAAAC
rnacentral:rRNA from 1 species